GGGGUCGUGGUGCAAUUGGGAGCACGCUACAAUGGCAUUGUAGAAGUCGUGGGUUCGAAUCCCAUCGACUCCACCA
rnacentral:tRNA from 1 species